CACUUCCUUCCUUUUCUUUUAUGUGUGUCGGUGACUCACUCAGAGCAGAGGCACAGUGAAGGUCACACCAGAGACAAAGUACUUUGAAAUGUAGGCUAAGUCAUACAAAAAGAACUGCAAAAUCCAAAGACCACAGGACUUUUUCCACUGAGAGGAUAAUGAAUGUGCAGAAGUACACCUAAAGAAUGGUGCAGAACCAAGCAGUGUGAUAUAAUUGAACACACAUUGGUACUAGCCUGCAAGAAUAGAAGUGAGCACAAAUUCUCCCCUCCCAACAGAAGAAGCCCACAGAAUGAGAGAGAUCUGAUAAAAUUCCAGCCCUACUGAAAUGGAUGGAAAUUUUGCCACUGACUGUUCAACAAAGGACUCUUCCCUGCAGACCUAUUAGGAAUUUUUAAUUGGGUAUAAUGUAUGCUGAGAAAGAUGAUAAUACAAUGGGGAAAUUUUGGUGCUUAGAUAAAUGAGCCACUGAUACUGCAUCUGUUAAAAUGUGUUUCACCAAGGGGCCACUUCUCCAGUAAGGACAAAGAAACGCGCAAAGGAAAGGAGCAAAAAGAGCCCAUUUCCUCCCCAUUUGGCUGUGUUUUAUGCCAAGAAGGUCAUAGCGCUGCAUGAGUGCUUGUGGCUCUUCGUCAAAGGCUCUGCUUCAAUUCAGACAAUCAAAGCUGAUGAGGACUCACCCUAAAGUGCACUUCUGUUUUCUAACAUAGCCUCUCUGGAAAAUAUGAUGUUACAAUAUUAGCCAGUCAGUUGGUCUGUCAUUUUUGGUUGGCCUCUUCUGUUGUAACACGAUGACACUGGGUUUUUUUCUUUGUUUUUCAUCAGCUGUCAAGAGAUACAAAUGCUGACUUCCUCCUAAACCUUUGGAUCCCACUGGCAUUUCCCAGAGCUGGGUCUACUUACUCCACAUUUGAAGCUUCCUUCCUGGCAGUUUUCAGCAUCCUCUGUAGAGUUGCACCUCUGGGUUAUUGGUAUGCAUUUUUCUUGCAGCCUUCACUGGAUAUCUGACUUCCUCACGAACAUAAACAGUCAUUUCACAGUAACCCUGUUAGAAAAGCAAGAAUUAUCACUUUUACUUAGAUUACAAAUGCAGGGGCUUUCACAGUGACCACAAACAUGCAGCUGUUGAAGACAGAUUGACUUUCCUGUAGGGAAUACACUGUGUUCUUGUUCAGAGGAGAUGAAUCUUUCCUGAGCGGGUGGAAGUUCCUCCACUGACAUGGGGUGCAGCAGAAGCUACUGGGGUCCAUCCGUGAAGAAGUGCAUUCACUAAUUCAGGUGACUGCUGAAAAAGGAUAUUCCCUUGUUUUGGCUGGUGAGUGUACAGGGUUAGUUCAAUAAAUUACAAUAAUUUUUUUUUCUUUAAUUAAAAGAAGGAAGGGAUGUGUUCAGUUUGUAAACACAAAUGCAAACACAUUCGGUAACUAAGCAGUUUGGCGAGCAUUCUGCUGAUGAAGGAUGAAGUUUGCAGUUAGGCUUUGGAAGAAUAGCAUAUGGCAGUAGACUGAACAUUUGUCAUUGAGUGAUUUCAUCUUCUGUGCUAAAGUAGUCUUCCCAGCAUGGAGGCUGAUAUUUUAAAAAGUCAGACGUGACAAAGGGAAAAAGUUAAUCCUUUAGACAAAGAAUAACAUAUUGAUUAAACUUCCUACUUCGAGCUAUAUAAAUAUGCAUUUAGAUCAUGCUGAUUUUAAUAUUUCAAGAGCUGGAUGCAGCUCCUAACAAAUAUCAGUUCCUAAGAAUGUUAAAAAUGCUCUAAUUUUCAAAGAAAAUAAACACUUUUUGUGUGCAUUUAUGACUAAUGUUUUAUAAUAUUAAAAUUCAAAGAUAAAAAGCACUGAAAUAAUUGAUGGGAGUUGAUACCGUACGUUUACAUAUUACAUUCUUUUUUAGUGUAGAUACUGAAAGUAGAUUAGAUGAUUAUUGACUUUUUUUCCAGAAAAUGCCAGCAUCAGUUUCCAAUUAACACAUUGCUUUGUCUAAAACCAGCCUUCCUUUUUGAGAUGCAGAACUGAAAGAACACCAUCAAAGUUUAAAGUACAGAUUUGCCUCACUGAUGUGUCCUGAAGAAUGUGUCCUGUAAGAUGUGACUAGCAGAAGAAAUGCAGAAACAGGAGAAAGCUGUACUGGUUUCUCUUGACAUAAUGCUGCUGCACUGAUGAUGUAUUUCUGUUGGUUGCCAGUAUGUGAAGGUUGAAGGAUGUUUUUGCAUCUGAGGUAGUUAAACUCUCCUUUCUAUGCUAUCAUUUUUUCCCUUCACUACUCUACAACAUAAUGAAUCCCAUUGAUUACUAAAUGUUUAAAAGGAUUUCAUCAAGGAGUGGCUCCAUUUUCUAAAUGCCUUUAUUUAUUCAAGUCUAAUUCAUAUGCUACUGACAUUUUCUUGCUUUUUCUGUUUUUAGGAAAGAUUCAAGUGGUGCUUUAAACCAAGACCUUCACAAUGCCUUAAUGGAUCAGAGAUACUGUUUAUACUCUUAAUCUCUUAAUCUCCUGACAAUGCAUUAUAUCAUUAAUGGCAAAUCUUUAUGAGUCUGACUUUGUGGUUCCUGCAUAGCAUUUGACAAUGCUGUUUCUGAUGGCUACACAUGUAAAGAGUGGCCACCCACAGGCAGAGAUUUAUGCUGCUCUGAGAAAGAUACUUCUAAGGAAACCAGUCUUUAUAUCUUCAUGGGCAUACUGGCUCCAGGGGUUGCAAAUCUUUCCUAUAUACCAUAACUCAAGGCUGAACAACCAUUACUUAACUUAAUGGUACAGAAUCUGCAACAAGAACAUUUUCAACAUUCAUGUCAGGCCCAAACAUAAGUCAUGUUUUAUGAAUUUGAGUUUAUUUUGCUCUGCAGCAACUGACUAUUAGGCAUUAGCUGGAGGCAUCAAGGAUCUGAUUUCUGCCCCUAGUUGUGUUCCUGCAAAACUGUGCUACUGACCCUGAGUCCAACAUCCCACCUCAUUUCUCCUCUCUUGGCUCACUGCUGGUUGCAUAUUGAGUUUGAAUGAGUGUAAUUUGGUGACCAUUUUCUGAUUUGUGGUGGGACUUUGGGACACAUCUGUUACAAGCAAGAAGACUUUCUAAAUCCUCUGGGAAUUUUUGGAAAUUUUUACUCUUGUUCCUGCAGAUUGGUAAAAGUCUGCUUCCAAAAAGCAAUGUAUUUACUUAUUCAAAACACAGAGAGCAGAAGCUUUAAAAGCAAGGGAAGAGCUCCAGCACUCUUUAAUCCAGUGAGUUUGGUGUGUGCCAGCAGUCAUGUGUAAUCGUCCUCAAACAGACGCAUGCACCAUUGCUGCGAACUCCCUCAGAAAACGUCCCUCAACAAAUCCUUCCUCAGAGCUGUCUCUUCAACCUCCUCCCACAUAUGGUAGUGCACAGAGUUAACUUGUGAGAACUCAGUUGGUUGUCUGUGUGCUCAGAAGAUUAUGAAGAGGAUAAAGUGGGUUUUACUUAUUCCCUCUGAUUUAAUACUUAUUGUAUCAGCACUGCUUUCAUUUAGUAUUCUUAUAUUGGUAAAAUGUGGGCUUUCAUUGCAAGAUUUACUUCUUAGCAAUGAAAACCUGAUACAAACCAGA